GUACUGCCGAAGAGUCCCAAACUAGGACGAAAUAGCUGUCCAGUAC
rfam:Trichobilharzia regenti genome assembly, scaffold: TRE_scaffold0000423